UGGUUGCAACAGAGGAGGAUGGCGAGGCUAAUGUAAGGCUAACUGUGGAAUAGGAUGUUCUAAAAGAUUAUUUGCAUUUAGUGAGGUAAACGUCCACACAUUUAGCUCUGCAUUGAAGCAGUUUGCACAUCCGGGCACUUCUAAUUCAGUAAUGACAACCAGAG